rnacentral:rRNA from 1 species
CAGACUUGAGUACUGCAGGGGAGACUGGAAUUCCUGGUGUAGCGGUGAAAUGCGCAGAUAUCAGGAGGAACACCGGUGGCGAAGGCGGGUCUGCUGGGCAGUAACUGACGCUGAGGAGCGAAAGCGUGGGUAGCGAACAGGAUUAGAUACCCUGGUAGUCCACGCCGUAAACGGUGGGCGCUAGGUGUGGGUUUCCUUCCACGGGAUCCGUGCCGUAUGCUAACGCAUUAAGCGCCCCGCCUGGGGAGUACGGCCGCAAGGCUAAUCAACUCAAAGGAAUUGACGGGGGCCCGCACAAGCGGCGGAGCAUGUGGAUUAAUUCGAUGCAACGCGAAGAACCUUACCUGGGUUUGACAUACACCGGACCGCCCCAGAGAUGGGGUUUCCCUUGUGGUCGGUGUACAGGUGGUGCAUGGCUGUCGUCAGCUCGUGUCGUGAGAUGUUGGGUUAAGUCCCGCAACGAGCGCAACCCUUGUCCUGUGUUGCCAGCAAUUCGGUUGGGGACUCGCACGGAGACUGCCGGGGUCAACUCGGAGGAAGGUGGGGACGACGUCAAGUCAUCAUGCCCCUUAUGUCCAGGGCUUCACACAUGCUACAAUGGCCGGUACAGAGGGCUGCGAUACCGCGAGGUGGAGCGAAUCCCUUAAAGCCGGUCUCAGUUCGGAUCGGGGUCUGCAACUCGACCCCGUGAAGUCGGAGUCGCUAGUAAUCGCAGAUCAGCAACGCUGCGGGUGAAUACGUUCCCGGGCCUUGUACACACCGCCCGUCACGUCAUGAAAGUCGGUAACACCCGAAGCCGGUGG